UAUAUAUAUAUAUAUAUAUGGCAUAGGCAACUUAAACCAUGCCAGAGGGAAUUGAAAAUAGGGACCUACAGGAGAAACAAGAAAGAAUGAAUACUAGUUGGCUCUACUCAAUAGGAAGACCCAGGGAGAAGUUGGAAUUAACUCAGAUUUCCAGCCUGGGUGACUCUGAAUGGCUGUGAAUGGCAGUGUUCUUAACAGGGAUUGAGAAGGAACAUAGGAAUAGAACAGCAUUACCCUUGGACAGUGAAUUUAAGGUGUUGCCUAUUGGACAUCUGCCAUGUCUUGUCACUUUUCGAUACGGGUCUGGCCCUCAGGCAAUAGCAGAGAUUUGAAUGGAACUGUAGAGUCACAAGUCAUCUUUAUAGACAUGUUAGUUGAAGCCAUACGCAUAGAUGAGCUCAUCUGGGAGAUGAAUUUAAAUCAAAGAGAUCAAAAUUUCCUUGUUUCACUUAAGUAAUCUUCUUAGCCAUUUACUCUUAUUGUGAGCCUGGCUUUUCCACCUGACCAAGUUCUACUUGUUCCAGGAAUUCAAAGAUAAACCGGGCUCUAUUAUUUCUUUCUGAUUGAUUGAUAUUUGGUUUCUAAAAGAAAUUUUCUUCCUUCUCUACAUUCACAAACUCUUCCAUUCUUUUGCCACAUUUUAUACACUUAAGUUUAAACCAGUUUCCAUGUAUAUUUUGUCUAUAUUAUGUUUGUUAUUGAGAAAUAGGCAUUUUUGGGAAGAAAGAAUUUGGCAUUUUGGAAAUAAUCAAAAAAUUAAAAAAUACACGCACCACUUUCCCAUUCUUCUCCCCACCCCAACCCCUACCCCUAUCCUCAAAUGCUUAGCUAGUGAAAUAUUAAAAUGUUGUAAUAGAAAUUGGAGUCAAGGUCUCCUGGCUGAAGAGACCAUCUAUUUUCAGAGACUGGAAGGAGAGAGAACAAACCAAUCAAGAGUCAUUGGUUUGUUGCCUCUAUUGUUUUAUUUCUGACCUGGGCAAAUAGCUUUUGAAGUGGAGAUAUGCUAGUUCUUGGCAACUAAUACUUUUCUGGGCAUGCAUUUUAUGAAAUAAUAGGUAUGUAUCUGCCUCAUUCUUUUAGGCUAUGUGUUUCUCUAGUUUAAAAAUAAUUUGCCAAUGAAGGUCUAUCUGUAUUUAUGCAAUCCCUAAAUUUGUAUUUACCUUACGUGCGUAUGUUUUAAAUGUGUGUAUGGAGGCUUUUUUUGGAUGCUGUAGAUGGGAGAGAGUGCCAUCAUCUAGUACACUGUUAUAUGCCACAAGAAAUAAUUGCACAGCCAUUUCUUAAUUUUAAGGUUUUUCUUUUCAACAGGUUUUGCACUGAUUGCAAAAAUAAAGUCCUCCGAGCAUACAAUAUCCUUAUUGGUGAACUUGACUGCAGCAAAGAAAAGGGCUACUGUGCUGCACUUUAUGAAGGCUUGCGGUGCUGUCCACAUGAACGACACAUACAUGUUUGCUGUGAAACAGACUUCAUUGCACAUCUUUUGGGUCGUGCUGAGCCAGAGUUCGCAGGAGGGCGAAGAGAAAGGCAUGCAAAGACAAUAGAUAUAGCUCAAGAAGAAGUUCUGACCUGCUUGGGAAUUCAUCUUUAUGAAAGACUGCAUCGAAUCUGGCAGAAACUACGGGCAGAAGAGCAGACAUGGCAGAUGCUUUUCUAUCUUGGUGUUGAUGCUUUACGCAAGAGUUUUGAGAUGACCGUGGAAAAAGUACAGGGUAUUAGCAGAUUGGAACAACUUUGUGAGGAAUUUUCAGAAGAGGAACGAGUAAGAGAACUCAAGCAAGAAAAGAAACGCCAAAAACGGAAGAAUAGACGAAAAAAUAAGUGUGUGUGUGAUAUUCCUACUCCCUUACAAACAGCAGAUGAAAAGGAAGUAAGCCAAGAGAAGGAAACAGACUUCAUAGAAAAUAGCAGCUGCAAAGCCUGUGGCAGCACUGAAGAUGGUAAUACUUGUGUAGAAGUAAUUGUUACCAAUGAAAAUACAUCAUGUACCUGUCCUAGCAGUGGCAAUCUUUUGGGGUCCCCUAAAAUAAAGAAAGGCUUAUCUCCACACUGUAAUGGUAGUGAUUGUGGAUAUUCAUCUAGCAUGGAAGGGAGUGAAACAGGUUCUCGGGAGGGUUCGGAUGUUGCCUGCACUGAAGGCAUUUGUAAUCAUGAUGAACACGGUGAUGACUCUUGUGUUCAUCACUGUGAAGACAAAGAGGAUGAUGGUGAUAGUUGUGUUGAAUGUUGGGCAAAUUCUGAAGAGAACGACACAAAAGGAAAAAAU
rnacentral:sRNA from 1 species